rnacentral:rRNA from 1 species
AGCAGCCGCGGUAAUUCCAGCUCCAAUAGCGUAUAUUAAAGUUGUUGCAGUUAAAAAGCUCGUAGUUGAAUUUCGGGAUCAAUUUGCUGGUCGUGCCUCUGGUACGUACUGGUAUUAUUGGUUUCUCCCUUCUGACGAACCAUGAUGUCAUUAAUUUGAUGUCGUGGAGAAUCAGGACUGUUACUUUGAAAAAUUAGAGUGUUUAAAGCAGGCAUUAGCUUGAAUACAUUAGCAUGGAAUAAUGAAAUAGGACGUUUGAUCCUAUUUUGUUGGUUUCUAGGAUUGACGUAAUGAUUAAUAGGGAUAGUUGGGGGCAUUAGUAUUCAAUUGUCAGAGGUGAAAUUCUUGGAUUUAUUGAAGACUAACUACUGCGAAAGCAUUUGCCAAGGAUGUUUUCAUUAAUCAAAGAACGAAAGUUAGGGGAUCGAAGACGAUCAGAUACCGUCGUAG